rnacentral:rRNA from 1 species
CAUCGCCUCCUGCCCACUCAGCAUAGGAGGUCCCGCCUGCCCUGUGACCAAAAGUUUAACGGCCGCGGUAUUUUAACCGUGCAAAGGUAGCGCAAUCAAUUGUCUUUUAAAUGAAGACCUGUAUGAAUGGCAUAACGAGGGUUUAACUGUCUCUUUUUUCAGGUCAAUGAAACUGAUCUGUCCGUGCAGAAGCGGACAUAUUAACACAAGACGAGAAGACCCUAUGGAGCUUUAGACGCCCACCAACCGCGAAAAGCAGCCUACCUAAACAGAUGCUCUAAACAACGCGGUCCUGGUAUAAACGUCUUCGGUUGGGGCGACCGCGGAGGAGAACAAAGCCUCCGAGAGGAAUGGGAACAAACCCUAAAACCAAGAGCCACAGCUCUAAGUCACAAAAAAUUUGACCGACAAUGAUCCGGCUUACUGCCGAUCAACGGACCAAGUUACCCUAGGGAUAACAGCGCAAUCCCCUCCCAGAGUCCAUAUCGACGAGGGGGUUUACGACCUCGAUGUUGGAUCAGGACAUCCUAAUGGUGCAGCCGCUAUUAAGGGUUCGUUUGUUCAACGAUUAAAGUCCUACGUG